rnacentral:tRNA from 1 species
GGAUUGUAGCUCAAUGGUAGACCGCUCACCUAGCAUGGGCGAGGUCCUGGGUUCAAUCCUCAGCACCA